AACAAAACAGAAAGAAAACUACUCGUUGCUGAUAAUUUACGAAUUGGAAUGGAAAUUGCAUUUGGACGAAUGAAAAUUGCAGAUACUAGCUACAUCUAUAAGCAUCAUGGGAUUGUCAUAAAGAUUGAUAAAACCUGCAAUAGAUUUGAAAUUGUUGAAUUAAGGGCUACUGAGUCAGCUUUCAAUACAUGUUUAGCAGUAUUAUGCACAAAUAGUCAGCCUAGCGUUCAAAGAACAACACUCAAAUUUCAUGAUAGCCUUUUCUACUGUGAUUACCAAGAUUUUUCUUUUCCGAGUAAACUUGUUAAGAAGAGGGCUAAAAAGAUGGUCUUAAUUUUUAACAAAUCUGAUGUAGAGUAUAACUUGACGAAAUUUAAUUGUGAACAUUUUGCAUGUUACUGUGCAACUGGACUGGCAGUCAGUAAACAGACUUCAAAUGAGAAUCUUGAGGCAACAGAAUCACUUAAUAAAGCACUGGGAAUGUAUAUUGAUAUACAAAUAGAAAAGUAUUCUAACAAAACACAGAAACCCAGUCCCAGCGGUAAAGUACUAGAAACCAUGAGACCAAGAGAAAGAUCUUGUGUAGUACUGUAACACAUUUGCCAAAGUUGUGUUUAUGAAAAGAAUAACCGAUACUAUGAUUUUGAGUAUUUUUUUUUAUCAUUUACGGACAUAUUAAAGACUAAAGACUAGAUUGUUCAAGACAUUUCAGCUACGAAUAAGACAAACCAUAAAAUUUGAUUGUUUUGGUUGAAACAUUGUUAAAGAGGAAUAUAAAACUAAUGUUGUGCUACAUGUGAUAUGAGCAGUCAUUUUGAUUGAAUUUCGUUACAAUAGCAAAAACCAUCGAUGAUGUUUUAUUGACUUGCAAGUCAUUAGUAUGACCUAAUUUCAAUCCGUAUGCAUGUAACUUCAAUUUGAUCAUGAGAGGAUAUGAGAAACGCAAGUUUUAUUUAUUAAAAAGAACAGGAUGUCAACAUUGUUAAAUUAACCAACAGAGACACCAGUAAUAAACAAUUUCUUUAAUUAUCUCACCCACAAAAUUGUCAUUCUUAUAUAGGUAAAACGAUGAUAUUUAUAACUUUUCAAUCUAUAUAAUGAAACCAAACAGACCUAGAAAAAUAGUCAUCAUAAAACCUCGUGUGCUUAAUUUUUUAUUAAUAUUUUGAAAUAUUUUAAUAUCGAUUUAUAUUGCCGUAUUAAAACAAUCAAAACACUAUCAUUUGUUCUCUCUCCUCCACAGAAAUCACAAUCAAAGCACUACCUGAUGUAUUCAAAUAAAUUGUUGUACACAAUUAUUUGUGGGAGGGAAGAUCUCCGAUCAAUUAUACUGUUUAUUUUUGUAGCUUUUAAUUUGUUAAUGUAACAAUGCCUUUUUAAUGUAAUGGUUUGGGAAAAUUAAAGACGAACUGUGUAAACGAAAUUUUUGAAGCCAAUUACGUAUUAUAAUGUCAGGUAUCUGUUCACCAUUAAUGACCUGUAUAAGGCAUUUCGUUAUUCCGCUUUUUUCCAUGUCAGAUAUUUGGUGUUUCGUUUAUAUUCAUUUAUUUACUUAGAUAUAGACUGUGUGUACUUUGUGUUUACCAUGUCAAUAUAUUCAUCGCUACGAUGAAUUCUAGGUUUUCGAAUUUAAUUUCCAUGUUGAUAGGUAGCUAUGCAGAUUACAGUAACUAUAUGUCAAUAAGCACAACCUUAAACUACGUAUUUAAGGAGUGGUUUCUUCAUUUCAAUUUUGAAAGAAAAAGAAGACUAUGGACACAACUAAUUUUUGACUGUGUUCUGGUCAUUCAAUUAAAAAACACUUCUCAAAAGGAAUAAAUGUAAAAUUGAGAAUAGAAAUGGGGAGUGUGUCAAAGAGACAACAACCCGACCAAAGAUCAGAAAAUAGCCUAAGGCCACAAAUGGGUCUUCAACACAGCGAUAAAAUCCCACAGCCGGAGGCGUGUUUCAGCUGGCCCCUAAGCAAAAAUGUGUACUAGUUCAGUGAAAAUGGACAUCAUACUAAACUCCGAAAUAUAUAAAUGAACUAAAUCAUAUAAAACUUACAAUGGCCAGAGGCUCCUGAUUUUGGGACAGGCGCAAAAAUGUGGCGGGGUUAAACAUGU